GUGCACGCUCCAGGGCUUGAUUUCGGAACUGAGGUUCAACAGUGAUAAGUUCAUCGUCCGGAAGGGCUAGCUCGCGAACGGUUCGUUGAGGCGGGAGCAGCUGGCCCCGCCAACGAAACGCAUAGUUUACGGCUGCGUCUUCCACAACACUUUCGCUGGGGUGAAGCUCGACGAGAACCGCUUCCAGCAAGUCCGCAAUAAGUGCUUCUUCUGAAGCUUCUAAAGUCGCGAAACGCUCACCGUCUGCAGACACAAAGCAUAAUCGUUUACUCGUCAUGGUACUGUCCAGAAAACUCAAGAGAGAAACCGUUUUCAGCGCCACGCGUGACGCCGACUUGUCAGGUAGCAGCAGGAAGACCCAAGUAUGUGCUCUGAACGCUCAGGAUCAAUCUAACCCGUGCAUACCUCCGGGACUGAUAUGCUCAGGUGUAUAAAAAAGCCGCCACUGAGAGCAGCUGUCGCCUUAAAGGACGAACACCAGCGCCCGUGGUGGAAAGUUCCAGCGUAGUCUGGCAGCUGUGGCGGUAUUGCCGUUGUGUGCAGCCUCGAACCGCUGCUGCACUCUGGGGCCAGCACGUGGAUGCAAAAGUAUGCAGGAGACUACCUGCAAGGUCCGUAUACAUCCAGGGCAGUCUACAGGGCCUCUACAAUGGCGAUCAGUCGAACUGUUCACGCUGCAAUGGUGUCAGUUUAGCAUGGAAAACUGAACUGUUAGCUCGGUUCCUGCCUUUCGAAUCUUUCCGAACUUGUGCAGCCACGACGAUCGAACUGCAGCAAAAAGGACUUAAGGAUGUAUACGUAGGUUUAGGAUUGUGGGUCUUAUGUUUAGGCUGGCUUCUUCGACACGUUGUCGGUGGAACGCUGUGCAUCACCAGUACCCGGGUGAUUCGCGACGCUCUCCAACACGGGUUCGUCGACGAACCAGUAUGCUUCUUCGAAGCGUACAACCAAAGCUCCACGCUUCUCUAUUGCUUACGUUUAACGUGGCCAAAUCACGCAUGUUUCAAGUUUUGGGCGCUUAUCUUUCAAGGCAUCUCGUGGGCGUCGCAACGCACGCUGCUGGCUUGGCGCGGAAAAAUGCUCGACGUGGCCAUUGGCUGCAUAUGCACGAGCUCGUAUCGAGACCUCACUGAACUUGUUGCAUCACAAAAUCGAUCUCGUUGGAAAGACGCAUCCUCUUGUGUCUCUUGCCAUCGAAGAAACUCCAUUGGGCAGCAGCAAGAUAUCUCCAAGCAGAUACGCUCUGGGAGGAGGCUCCCGUCUCUUCUGUUUCCACGGAAACGGGUCUUGGAUCUGGACUUGAGUCAUCGUAACAUCCACCACUGAUGGAGCGUACGUCACUGCUUACCAAGAACAGAGCGUAUACGGAUCGAAAAUUGUCCACUUGUGCUUCUGUCCGGAUUUUUCCAUGGUAUUUGUUUCACCAUGAAGAACAUCGCGUUCUAGAAACUCGCUUCUGUUCGUUCCUCCGUUGAUUCGCGAGUGCCCGAGGAGCUCCGGAUGUCAAGUGCAUCGUGCGCUUCUAUAAAAUCCAUGUUGUCGACCGGCUCCUAUUCUGCCGCGACGCUCGUUGUCCUCAUCGGAUGCAUUUGCCAUGCUUUUGCGCUGGCGCCUCGUCCUCAACCAAGCGGGAAGAAGCUCUAACCGAGGCGCGCGGCGAGCAACCCCGAAAUACCUUCGGAAGCGGCUAAAGUCU